rnacentral:rRNA from 1 species
AUUGAACGCUGGCGGCAGGCCUAACACAUGCAAGUCGAACGAGUGGCGGACGGGUGAGUAAUGGCUGGGAAACUGCCCGAUGGAGGGGGAUAACUACUGGAAACGGUAGCUAAUACCGCAUACCAUCGGAUGUGCCCAGAUGGGAUUAGCUAGUAGGUGGGGCAACGGCUCACCUAGGCGACGACCCGUAACUGGUCUGAGAGGAUGAUCAGUCACACUGGAACUGAGACACGGUCCAGACUCCUACGGGAGGCAGCGGUGGGGAAUAUUGGACAAUGGGCGAAAGCCUGAGCCAGCCAUGCCGCGUGUGUGAAGAAGGUCUUCGGAGUGUAAAGCACUUUAAGUUGGGAGGCGUUACCAACAGAAUAAGCACCGGCUAACUUCGUGCCAGCAGCCGCGGUAAUAC